rnacentral:lncRNA from 1 species
CGCCGCGCCGCCCGCGCAGUUCCACAGUUCCAGGAACCAAAUGGUGAUAAACUAGGAAUGGAGAGAGGGCUUGCUGCUGUCUGAGAGCUCAGGUACAGGUCAUGGAAGAUGGAUGAGAGGACAUUCGCCUGGGGCUUUUGAGGAAUUCUUUGAUUCCCUGCCAUCCUUGAGUUGGGUGAGGACAGAGGUGGCUUCUUGCAUCCUUCUUCCAAGGCCAGGUGAGGAGCUGGACUCUGAUCACAUGAGGUCUUUUAUUUGGGGCGGCUCUGCUCUACUCCCCUCUGCCUUGGCAGCUGGCUGAACAGACACAGUGACAGCCACUCAUUCAAUGCAUUGUUUAUUGAGUACUAACUAGCUUUGGGCCCAGGCUCUGGGUUAGCAGCAUGCGUGAAACAA